rnacentral:rRNA from 1 species
UAGUAGCACGUUAGGUGAUGGCAUAGCCUUAAAGCUAAGGGCAAGGUUCAAACGAAGAAAGGCUUACGGUGGAUACCUAGGCUCCCAGAGACGAGAAAGGGUCAACUUUUUGAACUGCUACUGAAUCCAUGGGUAGACAAGCGAUAACCUGGUGAACUGAAACAUCUUAGCAACCAGAGGAAAAGAAAACAAAAGCAAUUCUUGUAGUAGCGACGAGAAAAAUGGGAGUAGCCUAAACUAUGAAAAUGGGGUUGUGGGAGAGCAAUACAAGCAUUGUGCUACUAGGCAAAGCGGUGGAGUACUGCACCCUAGAUGGAGAGAGUCCAGUAGCCGAAAGUAUUACUAGCUUACACUCUGACCCGAGUAGCAUGGUACACGUGGAAUCCCAUGUGAAUUAACAAGGACCACCUUGUAAGGCUAAAUACUCCUAGGUGACUGAUAGUAAAGUAGUACCAUGAGGGAAGGGUGAAAAGAACACCCAUCGAGGAGUGAAAUAGAACAUGAAACUGUAAGCUCCCAAGCAGUAGGAGGAAACCAGGGCUCUAACCGUGUGCCUGUUGAAGAAUGAGUCGGCAACUUAGAGGCAGUGGCUUGGUUAAGGGAACCCACCAGAGCCUUAGUGAAAGUGAAUGUUCAUAGGGUAAUUGUCACUGCUUGUGGACCCAAACCUGGGUGAUCUAUCCAUGACCAAGAUGAAGCUUGGGUGAAACUAAGUGGAGGUCCGAACCCACUGAUGUAGAAGAAUCAACUGAUGAGUUGUGGUUAGGGGUGAAAUGCCACUCGAACCCAAAGCUAGCUGGUUCUCCCCGAAAUACGUUGAGGUGCAAUAGUUGACUGGACAUCUAGGGGUAAAGCACUGUUUCGAUGCGAGCUGCGAGAGCGGUACCAAAUUGAGGCAAACUCUGAAUACUAGAUAUGACCUCAAAAUAACAGGGGUCAAGGUCGGCCAAUGAGACUAUGGGGGAUAAGCUUCAUCGUCGAGAGUGAAACAGCCCGAAUCACCAGCUAAGGCCCCUAAAUGACCUCUCAGUGAUAAAGGAGGUAAGGGUGUAGAGAUAGCCAAGAGGUUUGCCUAGAAGUAGCCACCCUUGAAAGAGUGCGUAAUAGUUCACUAAUCGAGCGCUCUUGCACCAAAGAUGAAUGGGGCUAAGUGAUCUAUUGAGGCUGUGGGAUGUAAAAAUGCAUUUGGAGGGGAGCGUUCCACCCAGAGGUAAGCACCAGCGCGAGCAGUGGUAGAUGAAGUAGAAGCAAGAAUGUUAGCUUGAGUAACGCAAACAUUGGUGAGAAUCCAAUGCCCCGAAAACCUAACGGUUCCUCCACAAGGUUCAUCCACAGAGGGUGAGUCAGGGCCUACGACCAGGCCGAAAGGUUAGUCAAUGGAAAACAGGUGAAUAUUUCUAUACUACCCCUUGUUGGUCCCCAAGGAUGGAGGAGGCUAGGUUAGCUGAAAGAUGGUUAUUGGUUUAAGAAUGCAAGGUGCCCCUGCUUUUUCAAGGUAAGAAGGGGUAAAGAAAAUGCCCCGAGCCAAUGUUUGAGUUUCAGGCGCUAUAGCACUGAAAUAACCCAUGCCAUACUCCCAGGAAAAGCUCGAACGCCCUUCAAUGAAAGGGUACCUGUAAUUGAAACCAACACAAGUGGGUAGGUAGAGAAUACCUAAGAGCACGAGACAACUCUCUCUAAGGAACUAGGCAAAAUAGCCCCGUUGCUUCGGGAGAAGGGGUGCCUCCUCACAAAGGGGGUCACAGUGAUCAGGCCCAAGCAACUACUUACCAAAAACAUAGGUCUCUACAAAGUCAUAAGACCAUGUAUGGGGGCUGAUGCCUGCUCAAUGUCGGAAGGUCAAGGAAGUUGGUGACCUGAUGAUAGGGGAGCCUGGGAUUGGUUUAGGCCUUUCCUGUGCAGCUUAGGUGGAGGGCGAGGAAGUCCUCCUUCCGAGGAGCCCAAGCCAUCAGUGAGAUACCACUCUGGAAGAGCUAGAAUUCUAACCUUGUGUCAAGACCUAUGGGGCAAGGGACAGUCUCGGGUAGACAGUUUCUAUGGGUAGUAAUGGAGGCAUGCAAAGGUUUCCUCGGGCCAGACGGAGAUUGGCCCUUACAUGCAAAGGCAGAAGGGAGCUUAACUGUAAGACCCACUGGUCAAGCAAAGAUGAAAGUUGGUCUUAGUGAUCCGACAGUGCUGAGUGGAAGGGCCGUCGCUCAACGGAUAAAAGUUACUCUAAGGACAACAGGCUGAUCAUCCCUAAGAGCUCACAAUGACGGGAAAGUUUGGUGCUUUGGCACCUCGAUGUCAGCUCUUCGUCACCUGCGGCUGUAGUAUGUUCCAAGGGUUGGGAUGUUCGCCCAUUAAAGCAGUACGUGAGCUGGGUUCAAAAUGUCGUGAGACAGUUCAGUCCAUAUCUAAUAUGGGCAUUAGAGCAUUGAGAGGACCUUUCCUUAGUACGAGAGGAUCGGGAGGGACGCACCUCUGGUGUACUAGUUAUCAUGCCCAUGGAAAAUGCUGGGUAGCCAAGUGCGGACCGAAUAACUGUUAAAAGCAUCUAAGUAGUAAGCCUACCCAAGUUGAGUGCUUUCCUAUUCUGACUUCCCCAGAGCUUUUGGUAGCACAGCCAACGCAGCGAUGAAUUUUUUGCCCCUACGGGGGUGGAGCGAUAGAAAUUUUGAGAAUUCAAGAGAAGGUCAUGGCGAGACAAGCCGUCGUUUAUUAUUACGAUAAGUGUCAAGUGGAAGUGUAGUGAUGUAUGCAGCCGAGGCAUCCUAACAGACCAAUAGACUUGAAC